rfam:Gymnopus luxurians FD-317 M1 unplaced genomic scaffold GYMLTscaffold_108, whole genome shotgun sequence.
GGGCACUUGGCACAGUUGGUAGCGCGCACGCUUCGCAUUGUAGGACGUCAGUUGCGUGAGGUCAGGAGUUCGACUCUCCUAGUGUCCA